UCUGGAAAACAGCAUUCAAUAUUGAACGCCCACACUUAUCGGUUGUUGGAAGAAGUCGGUGCUAACCGACAUGGGUCUGUAGCUCAGCUGGUUAGAGCACCGUCUUGAUAAGGCGGGGGUCGUUGGUUCGAGCCCAACUAGACCCACCAAAUCUUCCGAACAUAAGAUGCGAGGAUCAGUGGGGGAUUAGCUCAGCUGGGAGAGCACCUGCUUUGCAAGCAGGGGGUCGUCGGUUCGAUCCCGUCAUCCUCCACCAACCAAUACGCUCUGCGGUAGGGCGAAGAAACCAACACCAAAGCGGCUUCGCGAGAGGCCUCUUUGUUGUUGGUCCGGUAUAGACCGGAUCAAUCGGCUGUUCUUUAAAAAUUCAUAGAGUCGAAUCAGCGUUGCCGGCGGAAAGCAGGAAACUGCACCGUGCCGCCGGUGACAAAAAUUUGAUUGCGUCAAAACGAAUAUUCAAUUGAGCGAAAGCUUGUUGAAAUUCAGUAAUGACGAAUUGUUCUCUAGGUAGCAAUACCGAAGAAGAAUUCACAUUACGGCAUAACGCGCGAGGUGAAAGACCUCGCAAGUCCUUGAAAGAAAGCGGAGAUGUCUCGCAAGAGAUGUCAAAGUUAUAGGGU
rnacentral:tRNA from 1 species